rnacentral:rRNA from 1 species
AACGAACGCUGGCGGCAGGCUUAACACAUGCAAGUCGAACGCCCCGCAAGGGGAGUGGCAGACGGGUGAGUAACGCGUGGGAAUCUACCCAGUUCUACGGAAUAACCCAGGGAAACUUGGACUAAUACCGUAUACGCCCUACGGGGGAAAGAUUUAUCGGAAUUGGAUGAGCCCGCGUUGGAUUAGCUAGUUGGUGGGGUAAUGGCCUACCAAGGCGACGAUCCAUAGCUGGUCUGAGAGGAUGAUCAGCCACACUGGGACUGAGACACGGCCCAGACUCCUACGGGAGGCAGCAGUGGGGAAUAUUGGACAAUGGGCGAAAGCCUGAUCCCGCCAUGCCGCGUGAGUGAUGAAGGCCUUAGGGUUGUAAAGCUCUUUCAGUGGGGAAGACAAUGACGGUACCCACAGAAGAAGCCCCGGCUAACUUCGUGCCAGCCGCCGCGGUAACAC